rnacentral:tRNA from 1 species
UGGGUUUUGGCUCAGUGGUAGAGCACUUACCUUGCACGUAUGAGGCACUGGGUUCAAUCCUAAGCACUA